rnacentral:lncRNA from 1 species
CGCGGCUGGAGCCUUUGUCUUGUUUGAGGGGUCUCCUCCCUCCGCAGGGAGGCUUCGUUACCCUCUGUGGUCGGAAAGAGGGUGUUGAUUGCGUGUUCUAAAAAACAUACUGUAUCCUAAUCCCUGUCUGGUUCUUGGGGAUUCAACCCAGGACAGUUGGUGUCAGAAGUGAUUCAAGAAAGCAGAAGAUAAGAUGGGGUUUUGGAACUGGAUCAUUUGCCACUUGGCUGUCAAUGGGACCUCAUUGCUGGUGGUGAGUGGAGCACAAAUAGCCCCUGGCACAAGGUUGGUUUUGGCUACGUGACCAGAAGGAUACCAGAGAUACAGCUUCAGAUGAGACUGCGGCUUCCCUGAGACCAAGGCAUUCUGCACAUGCCCUGGUGGUUUAGAAUCCUGAGAUGAAGUACAUCAUAUGUGACUGACAGGAAGCUGCACCUGGACGUCUUGGACUUCUCUGAGGUUUGCCUGCGAUUUCUUGAUCUGCUGUAUUAUUUCCUUUACUUUUAUUAAUGUCUUAAGUGAGUGUACUUUCUGGAGUCUUGUAAGUCCUCUCAGUCAUCCAAAGAGGCGUAACUCGUGCACCAUCAGAGGCCAGGUAGAUGGAUGCAUUUAUCAUAUGACUGGUAAAGUUGGGGUGGCAGGCGAGGGACCUGACCUACAGAGAAUUAGGGAACUGGGUAAUGGAACACAGAAUCCCUGGGGGCAAAAGAGGUGGGCAGCCAGAAAGGGUAUCAUUCAACUUGUACCAUCAGAAGAAAUCAAGGAUGAAUGAUCAGGAAGCUAAGGCAGUCCCCUCAAUAAAAAGUCAUACUCCCAUGCCAAUUUUCAGACCUGAGCCAGUUUUUGGAUCCAGAACCAAUUAAUUGAAAAGAAACUUGACUAUCUCCAUUAAGAAGCACCCUGAAACACUGUAGCAAGUGUAUGUUGGGGAAAGAGGAAUACCCAAAUAUUUUGAGGACUGUUGGACACAGGGUCUGAAUUGACAUUGGUACCCAGAGACCUGAAGUAUCAUCAUGACCCUCAUUAGAGUGGGGGCAUCUGAAAGCCAAGUAAUAAAUGGAGGCCUGGCCAGGAUCUGACUGAUAAUGAGUCCACUGGGUCCAUAGACCCCCACCUAGUCACCGUUUCCAUGGUUCAUAUCUCCUUCUCUGACUCUGACACUCUUCCCUCCUUGUUUUGCUUAUAAUCCUUAUGAUUACGUUGGACCCACUCAGAUAAUCCAGGAUAAUCUCUCCAUCUCAAGAUCUGUAAUUUAAUCACAGCUUCAAAGUCCAUUUUGUCAUAUAAGGUGACACAGUCACAGGUUCCAGGGAUCAGGACAUGGAUAUCUUUGGUGGGGCAUUAUUGUGCUUACUGCAGAAGGGCAUGGUGACCAGGUCAUAGACCCCCUCAGAGAAGAUGGUAAGCCCUGAGACCAGCAGAGAUGCUAGCUAAGGACAAGGGGAAUCUAGAAUGGAUAGUGGAAAAGGGAGACAAUGAGUAUCAAUUAUGGCCCCCAAGACCUUUACAGCCAUGGAGGGCUGAGAGUUAAUAGGGAGAACUAACCUUCCUGUUUUAAGUUUCCUCCAAGAAGAGAGGCCUACUGGAAUAUUGAAAAAGCUACUUCCUGAUCGUAUAUGGAAAGGUGGAUCUGAGUAGUGCAAAGGGUGGACUUCGGGGGCCAUGGAGGUGUACUGUCCAGAUCCCCUCUAGGGAAGGACUUGUUGAAAGCUACUGGUUGUGCUGCAGCUGACGGCCUUCAGCUGUCAUACCUCUCAGGGAUGGCCUCAGUGGCAGAGUGCUGCCUUCUCCAAGGCCACACCCUUCCUGGGGUGCCCCCCAUCUAAUGGCUGACCCAAGCAGGCUGAUAAAUGGUCAACAUGGGGCAACUCUGAUGGUCCAUUUUAGCCCCAGAGAUCCCUAUGUGGUCAGCUGAGGCUGUUGGUGGGCCUGCAUCCCAGCUUGACUUCUCCUUUUGUACAAUCUGCUUUCUUCCUCUCCCUUCCAUGGUGUUGACCCCAAGGGCACUACCUCAAUAUCUCACAUGCUAACCUCUGUCUCAGAAUCUGCUUCCUAGAGAACCCAGGCUGCAUCUUCAUUAAUUUAAUGCAUUAAAUAACAAAAUCUAGCAGUGGAUUUAAUGACUUUUCUAAUUUCAAAUAGGGAUAGAUAUAAAUGAUAUGUUGAGAUAUCUAUAACACAUGUGUUGUGAUAUGAAAAUAUCUAUUAAUGACAAAAAGUCACAAGUACUGUUAAUACUCAUUCAUUACUGAAAUGUUAAAUUCCAGUAGAGGUUGUAAAAAUAAAGAUGAACUUUUCCCUUCUAAGUUCAUGGACCCUCAGGUUAAGAAUCCUUAUCUUCUUUUUCUAUAUAACAGGGUUUAAUAAGUCCAUUUAAUUGUAUGAAAUAAAGGCUACAAUGAGAUGAAAUUAGUAUUUCCUUAAUGACUGGAUCAGUUAGUCUUGGAUUCAACUCUGAGUGACAAAAAAUGCAAAGCAGCAGUGGUUUAAACAAGAGAAAAUUUGAUUUCUCUCUUACUUAGAAGUGCAGAAAUAGGAGUCAAGGGCUGUUUUAGAAACUCCAACACAAUCUUUGCUUUGCUCUCGUAUCCAUCUACUGGGUUUCUCUACCAUCCUUAGCUUGCUGUCUCAUAGUCCAAAGUGGCUACUUGAGCUCCAGGCAUCACAUCCCCAAAGGGGAGGAAGAGAUAAAGAAGGGAGCAUCUCUAUCCUUUAAGGACAUUUCCUGGAAGUCACACAAAACAUUCUUGCUAAUCUCCUAUUGGCCGGAAUUUACACUUGACC